ensembl:snoRNA small nucleolar RNA SNORA14
CUGGAUGAAUCCUCCUGGAGGAAUCCUGGAUAAUUCCUCCAGGAUAAAUCCUCCUGGAUUAAUCCUGGAUAAUUCCUCCAGGAUAAAUCCUCCUGGGUGAAUUCCUCCUGGAUUAAUCCUCCUGGAUAAUU